AAAAGUCAAUGGGCAGCAGGUGAGGUUGCUGCUGUGAUCUCUUCCAGUCAACUCUCUCCUCGGAAGAGAACAGAGCUGCCCCUCGUCUUUCAGCCCAGCUCUCCUGUUUUCUCAGCACCUCAGCGGGACAAGAAAGACAGAGCCUGCCAGAACCAAGUCGACCAUCCCUACUCAGCGGAGACCAGACCUGUCCCUCAUCUCCCAGCCCUGCGUCUGGUGUGUUUUCUCAACACAUCAGUGGACCAAGAAAGGAACGAGCCUGCCAGAACCAAGGUAUAUAGACUUACAGGAGACAUGGAUUCGAUCCCUGGGUUGCAAAGAUCCCUUGGAGAAGGA